rnacentral:tRNA from 1 species
AGCGAGUUGGAGUAGCCAGGUUAUCUCGUCGGGCUCAUAACCCGGAGACCGGCGGUUCAAAUCCGCCACUCGCUACCA